rnacentral:tRNA from 1 species
GGGGAGGCACUACAGCUCAAUGGCAGAGCAUCUGCAUGGCACGCAGAAGGUCUCGGGUUCGAUCCCCAGCAUCCCCA